AACGAACGCUGGCGGCACGCCUAACACAUGCAAGUCGAGCGCACCUUCGGGUGAGCGGCGGACGGGUUAGUAACGCGUGGGAACAUACCCUUCUCUACGGAAUAGCCUCGGGAAACUGAGAGUAAUACCGUAUAAGCCCUUCGGGGGAAAGAUUUAUCGGUGAUGGAUUGGCCCGCGUUAGAUUAGAUAGUUGGUGGGGUAAUGGCCUACCAAGUCUACGAUCUAUAGCUGGUUUGAGAGGAUGAUCAGCAACACUGGGACUGAGACACGGCCCAGACUCCUACGGGAGGCAGCAGUGGGGAAUUUUCCGCAAUGGGCGAAAGCCUGAUCCAGCAAUGCCGCGUGAGUGACGAAGGCCUUAGGGUCGUAAAGCUCUUUCGCCAGGGAUGAUAAUGACAGUACCUGGUAAAGAAACCCCGGCUAACUCCG
rnacentral:rRNA from 1 species